GAUGAAGAACGUAGCGAAAUGCGAUACGUAAUGUGAAUUGCAGAAUUCAGUGAAUCAUCGAAUCUUUGAACGCACAUUGCGCCCGCCAGUAUUCUGGCGGGCAUGCCUGUUCGAGCGUCAUUUCAACCAUCAAGCCCCGGGCUUGUGUUGGGGACCUGCGGCUGCCGCAGGCCCUGAAAUGCAGUGGCGGGCUCGCUGUCACUCCGAGCGUAGUAAUACAUCUCGCUCUGGACGUGCUGCGGGUUCCGGCCGUUAAAAGCCUUAUUUACCCAAGGUUGACCUCGGAUCAGGUAGGAAGACCCGCUGAACUUAAGCAUAUCAAUAAGCGGAGGA
rnacentral:misc_RNA from 1 species